UACGUAGGGUGCGAGCGUUAAUCGGAAUUACUGGGCGGAAAGCGUGCGUAGGCGGUUCGCUGUGUCCGAUGUGAAAGCCCCGGGCUUAACCUGGGAAUGGCAUUGGAAACUGGCGGGCUUGAGUGCGGCAGAGGGGGGUGGAAUUCCGCGUGUAGCAGUGAAAUGCGUAGAGAUGCGGAGGAACACCGAUGGCGAAGGCAGCCCCCUGGGUCGACACUGACGCUCAGGCACGAAAGCGUGGGGAGCAAACAGG
rnacentral:rRNA from 1 species